UUGACCUCAAAUCAGGUAGGACUACCCGCUGAACUUAAGCAUAUCAAUAAGCGGAGGAAAAGAAACUAACAAGGAUUCCCCUAGUAACUGCGAGUGAAGCGGGAAGAGCUCAAAUUUAAAAUCUGGCGGUUCUUGACCGUCCGAGUUGUAAUCUAGAGAAGUGUUACCCGUGCUGGACCGUGUACAAGUCUCCUGGAAUGGAGCAUCAUAGAGGGUGAGAAUCCCGUCUUUGACAUGGACUGCCUGCACGUCUUGGUGCGCUCUCGAAGAGUCGAGUUGUUUGGGAAUGCAGCUCAAAAUGGGUGGUAAAUGCCAUCUAAAGCUAAAUAUUGGCGAGAGACCGAUAGCGAACAAGUACCGUGAGGGAAAGAUGAAAAGAACUUUGGAAAGAGAGUUAAACAGUAUGUGAAAUUGCUGAAAGGGAAACGCUUGAAGUCAGUCGCGUUGGCUAGAAAUCAGCCUUGCUUUUGCUUGGUGUACUUUCUUGUUGACGGGUCAGCAUCAGUUUCGACCGCUGGAUAAGGAUUUUGGGAAUGUGGCAUCCUUGGAUGUGUUAUAGCCCAUUGUCGCAUGCAGUGGUGGGGAUUGAGGAACUCAGCACGCCGCAAGGCCGGGUCUCUGACCACGCUCGUGCUUAGGAUGCUGGCAUAAUGGCUUUAAUCGACCCGUC
rnacentral:rRNA from 1 species